GACCGAGGGUGCUAGCGUUGUUCGGAAUUACUGGGCGUAAAGGGCGCGUAGGCGGUCCGCUAAGUUCGGCGUGAAAUCCCCUGGCUCAACUGGGGAACUGCGUUGGAUACUGGUGGACUCGAGUACCGGAGAGGAGAGUGGAAUUCCUGGUGUAGCGGUGAAAUGCGUAGAUAUCAGGAGGAACACCGGUGGCGAAGGCGGCUCUAUGGACGGAUACUGACGCUGAGGCGCGAAAGCGUGGGGAUCAAACAGG
rnacentral:rRNA from 1 species